CAUUUAGGACAUGGGGGCCGGUGAACCGGCUGAGAUAGAACUGAUACUGUUCUUACCAUUUACCUGAUCUGGAUAAUGCCAGCGUAGGGAGAUUCGAUAAAGAAAUAU
rnacentral:ncRNA from 2 species